AUUGAACGCUGGCGGCAUGCCUAACACAUGCAAGUCGAGCGGAUGAAGGGAGCUUGCUCCUGGAUUCAGCGGCGGACGGGUGAGUAAUGCCUAGGAAUCUGCCUGGUAGUGGGGGAUAACGUCCGGACACGGGCGCUAAUACCGCAUACGUCCUGAGGUAGAAAGUGGGGGAUCUUCGGACCUCACGCUAUCAGAUGAGCCUAGGUCGGAUUAGCUAGUUGGUGGGGUAAAGGCCUACCAAGGCGACGAUCCGUAACUGGUCUGAGAGGAUGAUCAGUCACACUGGAAUUGAGACACGGUCCAGACUCCUACGGGAGGCAGCAGUGGGGAAUAUUGGACAAUGGGCGAAAGCCUGAUCCAGCCAUGCCGCGUGUGUGAAGAAGGUCUUCGGAUUGUAAAGCACUUUAAGUUGGGAGGAAGGGCAGUAAGUUAAUACCUUGCUGUUUUGACGUUACCAACAGAAUAAGCACCGGCUAACUUCGUG
rnacentral:rRNA from 1 species